CGCAUAGAUUAACGCGUUAACGCUGACAGCCCUAGUUUUUACCUAUGUUGACAAACAUACUGUUUAUGUUGACUUGUAAAAUUUUAAACUGCACAGGGUUCCCACGUACCUGGACAUUUUGAAAUCCCAUUUUCCAUGCCCGGUAAUUCAGUAAAACUAUUGAAAGUUUUGGAAAAGUCAUGAAAUUUGUCAUACUUGGGGUAUUGGAGAUAAAGGAUAUAUUUUAUGGAUUAAUGCGAGCCACAAAAUCCGAUUGCUUCUUAAUACAAGUAAACCGUGUAGGAACGGAAAGUAAGGGGAGGGAGGGAAAAAUACAUUUUAUUCAUGGCUAAACCUUCAUUCAAUUCAUGCGCAACCUUUUUUUUCCUGUCAAAAAUGACAACUUUGGCUUGCUUAGCAAUUGUAGAUGUGGAUAUAAACUAGUUUGACGAUUUUUAUUGCACUUCAAAAAAGUAGCCUAUAAUUUCAUGCAAUCAUGUUUUGAAGUUGCAAUAGCAUGCCCAAUGGUUGGUGCAUUAUCUAUUCUUGUCAAGUUGAUAAUGUCCAUUGAAUGGGAUAUGUUUGAAUACUACAUAUUCAAAUUCCCAUUUCAUUUCAUGGAGUGAGAAAGCAUAGUGGCCCACUCCGUGUACAAAUGAACUAAAGAUGAUUUAAAUUAACAUUUGUUUGUAUAUUUACUAUUUCUAAUGAGGUAAAUAAGGCAAAAUAUAGGUUAAUAUAUUAAUAAUGGAUACACAUGAAAUGCACUGACAUGAAUACUACUAAUGAAGUAAAAUAUAUUCUUUUAAAGAAAAGCACUGAUGGUCUAGAGUCACACACCCAAGACAGCACAGCUGCUGAACAAAUCCUAGGGGGAAAAACUGACGUAUGCAGGUCUAAUUAAAUGAAUUCUGUUGUACUCUUCCAUAGAUCAUAUUUCAUUAAGCACAUUUCUGCACCGUGAGCCAGUUCAAUUUGACAUAACCUUACCUAUGAGAAAAGGAAUGGAAUCGGUUGUUUAACUUCUGUAUUCAAUAACUAUGUCCAACUGGAGAAAUGGACACAAUUUUGUGUACCUGUAGGUUGUGAAAGGUCAUGGAAAUUGAAUUAAGUGUCCUUGAAAGGGUGGAAUCCUUAAUCUGUACUUUUGUCAUAUUGUGGCACUCCCUUAAUUUUACUGUUCUGUUUUGCAUGUCAUCCUGUCAUUUGACUGUGUUGUUGCAAUCAUUGUAGAUCUCAUUGUAUGAAUGUUACAAUGAACUGAGCUAUGUCUGAUCUGGUAAAUUGGUGAGUGUUACGACCCCCUGCGCCUCCUGCAGAUUGUGUAGUGUCAAAGCAUGGCCUACAGGCCACCAGGGGGGAGGACGAUUGGCUGAUUGGACUGAUUACCCGGGGAGGUGUGGGAGAUAAAAGGACCUGUAGACACCUGUGUCUCUCUCUCUCUCUCAGCCCACCUUAUUCGUGUUGGCGGAUGAGUUUGUGUUGACCCUCCGAGGCAUACAGGAAUAUAGAUACGGUGAUAAUCAGGGUAGGUACAGAGCUCCGGUCAAGGGCAGAUUGAGGCCUGGUAUAACUAACCCUGUGUCGCCCACCUAGGGUUCAAAGGAAUUCACCUGAUUUUAAAUUCUUAUAUAAUGUGUGUUUACUGUAAAAAGUCAGGGCACAAAAUCUCUGCCAUGCACUGAAGAAGAGGAAGUUUAAGUCUGUUGGGUUGGAAAAAGCCAAAGGCGAAGUCUGAGAAGACCAAAAUUCAGAAGCUGCAAUUGAAAGAGCUGACAGGAAAAAUGUAAGCUACAUUCAAACAAAACGGUGAAAUCCAACAGUUUAAAAGAAGAACUUUUCGAGAAAGAGCAACUUUAUGAGCGAGAAGUAAUUUAAAGAUGAGCGAAACAAGCUUCUGGCUGAGGCUAACAAACAGAAUGAUUACGUUCAGAUCCUAUCAAAGCAGCUUGAGGAACAGGUGGAGCAUAAGGAGGUCGAUAGGGUAGUGAAAGAAAAAUCAGAAAUCAUAUCUUCUUUGGAGCAGCAGCUGGAAAAUGCACAGGAAGAAUCUGAGGGUCAGAUAGAAAACAGAAUGCUGAGCUUGAAGUCCAAGAUUUGGAUAAGGAACAGCUUACAAAAGGAACUCACAGUAAUAUCUGAAAGUUUUUCCAAGAUAAAGAAGCAUUUGAAGAACCUAUUCAUUUGGCUGUUGAUGCCAGUGACUACGGUGUUGGCGCUGUACUUUUCCAGUUGGGCUCAGAUGGGUGUUGAACACCCGGUUAUGGGUUAUUCCACUGUGGCAUGGCAGAAUAAUAAUAAUAAUAAUUUUAUUAAGGUCUAAACUGAUCACAGUUCUUUGGUGUGUAUUGACCGAAUGAGGAACCCCCACAACGAAUGAUAUGCUGGAGUCUUAUAUUCCAGCCGUAUCCUUUACUAAUUAAAUAUAUUGAAGGUAUUGACCACUAAAACAUAUCUAAAAUGGCGUGGGGUCUAGCUUUAUCAUAGCCAGGGCAUUUUCAAUAGGUCUGCAUAGGCUGAAAGGUUGCACCAUAUAGCUGGGAUACAAGGUCAACAACCAUCCACAGUUGUAUUCACGGCUUCCAGUUUGACACGGGCAUGUGGUUCACCCAGGGCAAAGCGUAAAUCCAUUUCGGUCAGCACUAUGGAGACUCUAGUCAAACUCUCCCUUCUAUAUAGCUGGACAGGGCAGUGGUGGAUGAAUCAAUAACCGUGAGACUGUCCUGAAUUAAUGACGUCACAGGGGCCUCUUUUAGGUGUUCAGGGCCUAGGAAACUCAGACAAUCAUCAUGGUCAUCUUUAGAAUCUUUAAUAUCAUUUAAUGGCAUGUAGCAGACCACAUGGUCAAGGUUCAUGCCCUCACGGUCUUCUAGCUGGUUUAGUUCAGCUUAGUAAAGUGAUAACCCAGCCUCCCCUGGUAUGUCAGAGAAGAUUAUGUUCUAACAUUUUGCUCUUUUCUUAGUAUAGGAUCUAUUGUUUUUGUAUUUUUUUUUAUUUUCCUUUGUUAAUUUCAAUGUGUUCCUAUUGAAAAUGUGUAUUAGAAUAAAGAAUUCAUAAGAAUUAUAAAUUAGAAAGUUAAAAGUUAAAAUAAGUAGAUAAAUAAAGAGGUAGAGAGGUAGAGAGAGACAAAAAAAAAUUAAAGAAA